UGUGGAGGAGAUUAUCUCGUUUUGCGGAAAAGUGCUUCUGAAACCACGGUUUGGAGAUACCCAAACAGGCUAUAAGCUUAAAAUAAACCC